rnacentral:rRNA from 1 species
GCCUCUUGAUUAAACCAUAAGAGGUCCAGCCUGCCCAGUGACAUUGUUCAACGGCCGCGGUAUCCUAACCGUGCGAAGGUAGCGUAAUCACUUGUCCUUUAAAUGAAGACUAGUAUGAAUGGCCCCACGAAAGCUAUACUGUCUCCUUUUUCUAAUCAGUUAAACUAAUCUCCCCGUGAAGAAGCGGGGAUAAACAUAUAAGACGAGAAGACCCUAUGGAGCUUCAAACAACUGAAACACUUGUAUAUCCUCCCCUCACCUGCCAACAUUUAACCUCACAUUUUUGUUUCUAGUUUUAGGUUGGGGUGACCACGGAGAAAAAACUAACCUCCACGACGAAAGAGACAUCUCUAAACAAAAAGCUACAUCUUUAUGUAUUAACACAUUAACCUUUAUUGACCCAAUAAAUUGAUCAAC